GGCGCCGUGGUCCGGGCUGGUGUAGUCGUGGGUGGCGGGGUCUCGGUUGUGUGGCUCCAGCUCCUGGCUGUCCUUCGCAGCACGGCGGAACAGGCCUGCGUCGUGCCUGGCCGGAGUCAGCCCUGCAGUCUCACAACCCUGACCAGCUGUGGAAGUUUUGAUUUUUCUCGGGUUCCCCCCACGACAUCUAAAGUCCCUCUUUUCCCUUAAGGUUGUGUGGCUGAACACCGACUCUGUUUGAUCAGCUCCACCUUGGGCUCACAGUGCUACUGCUUCCCUGUUCUGGGUGGCUGAACUUUAGCCCGCUCACAAGGAAUAAACACCAGCCAGGUAAGUUCCCAUCAACGUUUUGCCAGGCCUUCAACUGCUGUGAACACUGGAAGAGUGCCUUUUGCGUAGAUGGUUAAAGGUCACUGAGACCCUCCUCCUCAGGGGAGAAAGAACCUCUGGUUGGCAUCAGUAACACCACUACUCCCCACAGUCAGAUUCUAUUUUUAGCUUUGGUCCCUUUCAGUUCCCCUGUACCCAUUCGGCAGCAAAGAGUGCAGCUUUGAAUGCCUGUGUAUGUCACCCACAAUAACUUCGUUGUUGGUCUAUAAAAUUGCUGCUUUCUCUUUCAGUCUCAUGGUUCCUUCUCAGGUCGGAAAAUAUUAUUCACUGUCUCAGCCACCCAACACAGGCCAAGCCAGGAGAUCUGGAUUGUUCAGGCAACACUUAAUCAGCACCGUCCCUUGUUCCAAAGCUCUUCUCCCAGGUCUUUCCUUAGUAAAAGGCUAUGGUCUGAAUGCUGAACGCCAAAGAAUUGAUGCUUUUGAACUGUGGUGUUGGAGAAGAUGCUUGAGAGUCCCUUGGACAGCCAGGAGAUCCAACCAGUCCAUUUUGAAGGAAAUCAGUCCUGAAUAUUCAUUGGAAGGACUGAGGCUGAAGCUGAAACUCCAAUACUUUGGCCACCUGAUCUGAAGAACUGACUCAUUUGAAAAAACCCUGCUGCUGGGAAAUAUUGAAGGCAGGAGGAGAAGGGGACGACAGAGGAUGAGAUGUUUGGAUGGCAUCACUGACUCGGUGGAAAUGAGUCUGAGUAAACUCUGGGAGUUGGUGAUGGACAGGGACACGACUGAGUGUCUGAACUGAACUGAACUGAAUGGUCUGAAUGUGUGCAUCUCCCCAAGUUCAUAGAUUCAUGUCCUAGCCUUGAAAUGAUG
ensembl:lncRNA